UACGGGGGGAGCAAGCGUUGUUCGGAUUUACUGGGCGUAAAGGGUGCGUAGGCGGCGGGGCAAGUCUGAUGUGAAAUCCCGGGGCUCAACCCCCGGAACUGCAUUGGAUACUGCUUUGCUAGAGUACUGGAGAGGGAACUGGAAUUUACGGUGUAGCAGUGAAAUGCGUAGAGAUCGUAAGGAAGGCCAGUGGCGAAGGCGAGUUCCUGGACAGUAACUGACGCUGAGGCACGAAGGCCAGGGGAGCAAACGGG
rnacentral:rRNA from 1 species